rnacentral:rRNA from 1 species
AAUGAACGUUGGCGGCGUGGAUUAGGCAUGCAAGUCGAGCGAGAAACCUCCUUCGGGAGGUGGAAAGCGGCGAAAGGGAGAGUAACGCGUGGAUACCUGCCCUCGAGUUCGGGAUAGCUGCUGGAAACGGCAGGUAAUACCGAAUGAUAUCUCCGGAUCAAAGGUGUGAUUCCGCCCGGGGAUGGGUCCGCGUCCUAUUAGCUAGUUGGUGAGGUAACGGCUCACAAAGGCAACGAUGGGUAGUGGGUGUGAGAGCACGACCCACCUCACUGGGACUGAGACACUGCCCAGACACCUACGGGUGGCUGCAGUCGAGGAUCUUCGGCAAUGGGCGCAAGCCUGACCGAGCGACGCCGCGUGCGGGAUGAAGGCCUUCGGGUUGUAAACCGCUUUCGGAGGGGAUGAAAUGCGUGGGGGUUCUCCCCCACGUUUGACAUAGCCUCUAAAGAAGUACGGGCUAAGUUCGUGCCAGCCGCCGCAGUAACAC